rnacentral:rRNA from 1 species
AUUGAACGCUGGCGGCAUGCCUUACACAUGCAAGUCGAACGGCAGCACGGGAGCAAUCCUGGUGGCGAGUGGCGAACGGGUGAGUAAUAUAUUGGAACGUGCCCAGUCGUGGGGAUAACGUAGCGAAAGCUACGCUAAUACCGCAUACGAUCUAUGGAUGAAAGCGGGGGAUCGCAAGACCUCGCGCGAUUGGAGCGGCCGAUAUCAGAUUAGGUAGUUGGUGAGGUAAAGGCUCACCAAGCCGACGAUCUGUAGCUGGUCUGAGAGGACGACCAGCCACACUGGGACUGAGACACGGCCCAGACUCCUACGGGAGGCAGCAGUGGGGAAUUUUGGACAAUGGGCGCAAGCCUGAUCCAGCAAUGCCGCGUGCAGGAUGAAGGCCUUCGG